rnacentral:rRNA from 1 species
UACGUAGGGGGCAGCGUUGUCCGGAAUCAUUGGGCGUAAAGAGCGUGUAGGCGGCUUGGUAAGUCCGCUGUGAAAGUCCAGGGCUCAACCCUGGAAUGCCGGUGGAAACUGUCAAGCUUGAGUCCGGAAGAGGCGAGUGGAAUUCCUGGUGUAGCGGUGAAAUGCGCAGAUAUCAGGAGGAACACCGAUGGCGAAGGCAGGUCUCUGGGCCAUUACUGACACUGAGAAGCGAAAGCAUGGGGAGCGAACAGG